GUGGAAAAUUAAACGGCACUACAUUAGAAAAGUCACCCACAUCCAUGGAAAGAUAAGGGAUCCACGGAGGAAAUGGGAAAAAAACUCUUGGCACAAAAAGAGAGUAAAUGGACAGAAGUACUAAAAAUAAAAACUCCCAUGGGCUUGAAUGAGGUCAACAGUUUUGUCCCCUUCUUAACAGAGAUUACCAUUAGCUCUCCAUUCUGUCUCAUGACAGUGCGUAGCAGAACACUCUUCUCUGUGAUGUCCAUGUACUCUAAAAGGAUUUAUGAACUGGAGCCGUCUUCAUGAAACAACUACUUUAAAA